CGUCUAUAUACGUAUAGCAUAUCAAUAAGCGGAGGAAAAGAAACUAACUAGGAUUCCCUCAGUAACGGCGAGUGAAGCGGGAAGAGCUCAAAUUUGAAAUCUUCAAGGUUUUACCUUGACGAAUUGUAGUUUAAAGAAGUGUUUUCUGUUGGAAUUUUGGUAAAAGUUCUUUGGAAAAGGACAUCAUAGAGGGUGAGAAUCCCGUAUUUGACCAUUAUCUCCAGCUUUGUGAUACACUUUCAAAGAGUCGGAUUGUUUGGGAAUGCAGUCCAAAAUGGGUGGUAAAUUUCAUCUAAAGCUAAAUACUGGCGAGAGACCGAUAGCGAACAAGUACCGUGAGGGAAAGAUGAAAAGAACUUUGAAAAGAGAGUUAAACAGUACGUGAAAUUGUCAAAAGGGAAGCGUUUGACACCAGUGUUGUUUUUCUCGAAAAAUCAAUUACAAAUGGCUGGAUUUUGUGUUGUAUUGACCUUAUCAGCUUUCUGCACUCUUUUUCUAGUCUUUCUUAAUGCACUUUUCGUUUAACAAGUCAACAUCAAUUUCUUUUGUUGUAAAAGGGUCAUUGGAAGGUGGCUUUCUUUUCGGAGAAAGUGUUUAUAGCCUUUGGCCUCUGCAAUCGGAGAGAUUGAGGUCUGCAGCGUAGAUCCUUCGGGGUUAGAUACAUUUGUGCUAAGUUAUAGCCUUUCAUAGACAACUUGUUGACUAUGAUCAGUCAUGUAGCUUACUCGCUUAUGCUAUUUUACCUACGCUUAGGAUGUUGACUGAUAUGUAGUCGUA
rnacentral:rRNA from 1 species